UACGUAGGGGGCAAGCGUUGUCCGGAUUUAUUGGGCGUAAAGAGCGUGUAGGCGGCCAUUCAGGUCAGCUGUGAAAACUCGAGGCUCACCUCGAGACGUCGGUUGAAACCGUUUGGCUAGAGUCCGGAAGAGGAGAGUGGAAUUCCCGGUGUAGCGGUGAAAUGCGCAGAUAUCGGGAAGAACACCCGUGGCGAAGGCGGCUCUCUGGGACGGUACUGACGCUGAGACGCGAAAG
rnacentral:rRNA from 1 species